rnacentral:rRNA from 1 species
UACGGAGGGGGUUAGCGUUGUUCGGAAUGACUGGGCGUAAAGCGCGCGUAGGCGGAUCAUCAAGUCGGGGGUGAAAUCCCGGGGCUCAACUCCAGAACUGCCUUUAAGACUGCAUCGCUAGAAUCAUGGAGAGGUGAGUGGAAUUCCGAGUGUAGAGGUGAAAUUCGUAGAUAUUCGGAGGAACACCAGUGGCGAAGGCGGCUCACUGGCUCGACACUGACGCUGAGGUGCGAAAGCGUGGGGAGCAAACAGG